rnacentral:rRNA from 1 species
GCCUCAAGACAUAAUUGAGGUAGCGCCUGCCCAAUGUUGAAUGGCUGCAGUACCCUGACUGUGCAAAGGUAGCGUAAUAAAAAGCCUUCUAAUUGGUGGCCCGUAUGAAAGGUCGCACUAAGUUUAAUGUUUCAGAUCUUGAACUUGAGCUAUAAGUAAAAACGCUUAUAUUAACCUCCAGGACGAUAAGACCCUAGGAGCUUUAUGUUACAUUCGACUGGGGCAGUCGCUGAAGAAUAAGAUCUUUAUUGAGCUACCCUAGGGAUAACAGCGUUACUACUCUUUUGAGCCCUUAUUGAUGGAGUGGUUUGCGACCUCGAUGUUGAAUUGAAAGGUGCAGGAGCCUAGGUCUGUUCGACCUUUAGUACUUCACA